rnacentral:rRNA from 1 species
GACGAACGCUGGCGGCGUGCCUAAUACAUGCAAGUCGAACGCAGUGGGGACGGGUGAGUAACACGUGGGUAACCUCCCAUCAGAGGGGAUAACACUUGGAAACAGGUGCUAAACCGAGACUGAUGUAUGGACCCGCGGUGCAGUAGCUAGGUGGUGAGGUAACGGCUCACCAAGGCCACGAGGCAUAGCCGACCUGAGUGUGUGAUAGGGCACGCUGGGACUGAGCCACGGCCCGGACUCCUACGGAAGGCAGCAGUGGGGAAUCUUCGGCAAUUGACGAAAGUCUGACCGAGCAAAACCGCGUGAGUGAAGAAGGUUUUCGGAUCGUAAAACUCUGUUGUUAGAGAAGGGGUAUCUAACCAGAAAGCCACGGCUAACUACGUGCCAGCAGCCGCGGUAAUUC